AUAUCCCGAACCUGGGUGAUCUAUUCAUGACUAGGAUGAAGUUUGGGUGAAACUAAGUGGAGGUCCGCACCGACUGAUGUUGAAGAAUCAGCAGAUGAGCUGUGGUUGGAGGUGAAAUGCCACUCGAACUCAAAGCUAGUUGGUUCUCUUUAAAAUGCGUUGAGGCACAGCAGUUGACUAGACAUCUAAAGGUAAAGCACUAUUUUGGUGCGGGUUGCGAGAGUGAUACUAAAAGUCGAGGCAAACUCUAAAUACUAUAUAUGACCUCAAAAUAAUAGGGGUCAAGGUCGGCCAGUGAGACGAUGAGGGAUAAGCUUCAUUGUCAAGAGGGACACAACUCGGAUCACCAGCUAAGGCUCCUAAAUGAUUGCUCGUUGAUAAAAGGAGGUAGGGGAUAAAACAAUCAAUUAAAAAAGAUCCUCUACUUCCAAUUAAGAAUUUAUUAGGUCCUUUAAGAACAACCCCUAAAAUUGUGAAUUUUUAUUCAUCAUUUUACCCUUUAAUAACUCAUAAUCAAACCUUGAUAGCGAAAGACAAUUUAAAACAGGCUUUUCAAGUACUUAACUAUUAUUUAAUAGCUGAAAAUAGGAGAAUUUAUAAUUUUGA
rnacentral:ncRNA from 1 species